UACGUAGGGCGCAAGCGUUAUCCGGAAUUAUUGGCGGUAAGAAGCUCGUAGGCGGUUUGUCGCGUCUGCCGUGAAAGUCCGGGGCUCAACUCCGGAUCUGCGGUGGGUACGGGCAGACUAGAGUGAUGUAGGGGAGACUGGAAUUCCUGGUGUAGCGGUGAAAUGCGCAGAUAUCAGGAGGAACACCGAUGGCGAAGGCAGGUCUCUGGGCAUUAACUGACGCUGAGGAGCGAAAGCAUGGGGAGCGAACAGG
rnacentral:rRNA from 1 species